rnacentral:misc_RNA from 1 species
AUUAUCCUCGAAAUAGAGGUAGAUGCUCCGAGGCAGGCUUGGGCAACCAGCUGUCUACGUUGAUCUACCUUUACUCUUCAUGGACAUCCCCUCUGUGUAUCAACCCUUUGUUGCUUCCCGCAUGGCGUGGCCUGCAAGGGUUACUCUGCGGGGAGGAUAUCAUAAACUCUGGUUGUUGUGUUGUUAGUCUGAGUGGUAAACACAUUAAACAAGUUA